CGUCCCAACGCUGGCAUAAACCCUGGCCGCCGCCGCGACACAAGCCCGUCCGCCGCCGCCCUGUUGCGUGCUGUCUGCCGCUGUACGUCCCGACAAAGAAGUCGCCGCCGCCGCCGCGACACAAGCCCGUCCGCCGCCGCCCUGUUGCGUGCGCCCCGAGCCGUCUGCACCGGCGACGUCCGCCGCUGGAAUCGGCUGGAUACCUCGACCCCUGAUCCCCAGUUAAAAACACCGCGAGCCGUCCGCCGCCACUGCGCUCCGCCUCGAUCCAUCCACCCCAGCGGCGCCACCCAGUUCAAAGCAAAUCGAAUCAGAAGGGGUUUAGUUUUGAGUUAAAGGAUUACGCAUGUAUUAUGCUUAAUCACUCUGUCUUUGUUCAGGUUUUGGUGUCAGGAUCUGCUAUUGGCUAGAAGGGAUUGUUUCCAUCGAGUCCUCGACACUCAGGUUCAAACUUUCCACCUCCCUUAUUCCUGGUUAAUUUCUCUAUUCCUCUUCGUUUUGGAAUUUUAUUACCAUACCAUGAAAUGCUCAUUUUCUCGGACCCAUUUUCUCAUACUGUUGGUCUUUGAUUGUUUUUUUUCCUUGCUUGCAUAGUAGUAUGAACUCGGAACAGUUGAAACUCUGUUCUAUUUAAUCCCGUUCAGUGUUCUUCGUCGGUGACAACAGGUUGAUGCUAAGUUACCUGUUUUCUUGUCCUUUGUGGAUUACUUGAAAUACAACAAUUGAUAAUUUUGUAGGCACAAGACAGGACUAUAGCUGGCCGGUGAUACUCCUUUUAUGCUUCUAUUUUGGGCAUUGUCAAAAGGAGGAUCAUGGAUUAGCUGGUCGACAAAGAUGACAAGAUUUAUUUUUUCAGAGCAGCCGCUGGUUUAAUGGCUUUCCUAUUCUUUUUGUGGUGCGGUAUAUUUGCAGCUUGAGUGAGCAUGUCAUUCUCCAUUCUAGAAGCGGCAGGGAGUGAAAAACAAAUAAGACAGAAAUAGCACGUGUGCAUUUGAUGAUGAUUAUGCAAUGGUUUACUUCAGUUAGAUAAACCUCUCACAAUCUUGGUGAAGGCACUAAAGAAUGUUUCCUUAGACAGGUAAAAAUGCCUAUAUAGGUCUUUACAUGGUUAUUUGUGCACGUCAUGCUCAGACUUCGCUUCAUUUUGUUAGGUUGAUUUUUGCAUAACAUAAUAUGGGGUCGAGGGCAUAGUCGAGGGUCUUCUUCUGGUACCUUCAAUAAAGACGGGUGGGAAAUUCUAUAAACGCUCAAUUCUUCAGGAAUUAACAUGAGUUUUCUGGACAUUAAAUCUGCCGGAGAGAAAAUGUAACUGGGUGUUGAUUUAUGUUUUUAAGGUCUGAACAUUUCCAUUGUGGAACGACAUGUAAAAAGAGUAAACAAGUAAUAAAACAUCUUGUCUUCGUUCAACCUCUAUCUACUGGUGAAAGCACCAUGCAGAUUGUGCAAGAAUGAACAUGUGUAUAACUUCACCUAUUUUGGGAAAACUUUCCUGAUUCUUCUGUUGCAAUCUUUCAAUAUUUUUUUGGCUUGCCAUCAGUUAUAGUGUUUGAUAAUACCUUUCUGUAAUUCUUCUCUAACUGAAUUAUGCUUUGACAAAUAUAUGAGUUAUAGUGCUUGCGCCAUUUGGAAUUCUCAAGGGGAAUGAUGCUUUCAGAGCUUUGUGAGAGCACUCUCAUUGUACUUUCUUGCUCAUCAUGUAAGAAUUCGACAUUAAUUUGAACACAAAGCGCAUGAUCACUGUCUAAUUGCGGUGAAUAUUCUUGUAUUUUCUGUGAUUAGUUAUGACAUAUGACGGACAAUAAUCAGAUACACUUUUCACGUGUUGUACCACGAAAUCUGCAAGACUGACAGUUGCUUUGGUGCCUUGCCAAAUCAGUUAACCAAUGUAUUGAUAUUACUUGUGCAAGAGUCUUAUUGGAGAUUAAAAGAAGUUGAUCUUCGGGAAGGAAAACCGCGACCCUCUGUGAAAAAUCUCAAGUUAAAUAUGGAGAUCACGAACAUACAAAGUUCCAUAGUUUACAUCCAUAAGACCUCGACUACGCCACCUAUUAUCUUCAGCAAGCUGAAGAAUGAAGCUCGCUAUUGGGCGCUCGUGGGUGAUAAGCUUCUGAGGAGUAUUAUGCCGGGAUAGUAGGCCUUUGUUAUUGUCUUUUUCUUUUCCUUUUCCUUUUCAACCUUGUUUGAACUCCUUAUUUAAUGAGAUGAGGCAAAGCCUUUGCUUCCGUUUUUAAAAAAUAAAUAGUUUACACGGUGGAAAGUUCAAGUGCAAAAAAUGUCUCUGCUGAACAAGGUAGUUAUGCUCUGUCUAUUAUAGAAUAGUGCUUGGAAAAAUAUAUGUCCGGUGCGCCAAGGACAAGACUUCCGUUGAAUUAACACUGAGUUAUAGUUAGACGAAUUCUUCUUGUUUGUGACUUGGCUAGACUUUCACUGAAUUUGCACUUAAUUAAAGUUCAGCAAUUAAUAAUUCUUAGGGAACAAUAUCUUCUUGUCGCUUGCAAUUAUCCACGUUUCUGAUUCAACUAGACCGAAUUAAACGCCUUAGAAAAAGAUUAGUUCGACAUGAACUUCGAAAUCUUAGCCAUGUUCCUUUCUUGCAUUGUUCCCGUUUUUCCUUUUCGGUCCCCUCGGGGAUUGCUUGUUUGUACAUUCUCAUUCUCUUGAAUGACGGAAUCGACCGUCUUUUCCUCGAAAAAAAAAUCUUAGCUGUGUAAAGUGUAAACUCCUUGUUGAUCUUGAUUCUGAUUGAAAGCCCGUGAUAUUAGAUUAUAAUACUUUGACGGACAGAUGAUGGCGUUGCAUUUUUAAUUGUUUUUAAUUUAUUUUGUACUAUUAAAUGUUUUUGUUUUACUCCAGAAGGCAUGAAAUCAAUACUUUUGAUUAGACGAGUUGCACCAUUAGGCAUUCGCACUAAGAAUGAUAUUUUCGGUUCUUUGUGGCAGCGCUCUUAUUGUACUUUCUUGCUUAUGAGUUCAGAAUUCGAACUCAGACGGCAUGAUCGCGUUCCCAUUGCGGUGAAUAUCCUUGCAUUUUCUGUGAUAGUUAGGACAUGACGUACAAUAAUCAGAUAUUAUUAUUGGAUUAUUUACAUUUUAGUGCUCUUUUCACGUCUUGCACCACAAAAUCUGCAACACUGAAGACAGUAGCUUUGGUGCAUUGCCAAAUCAGUUGAUCACUGAAUUGAUAUUACGUGUGCAGAGUCUUAUUUGGAGAUUAAAAGAAGUGGCUCUUCAGGAAGGAAAACCAUGUCCCUUGAUCUCUGUUAGACAUCUCAAGUUAAAUUUGGAGAUCAUGAACAUAUGAAGUCCCAUAGUUUACAUGCAUGCUGGAAAGUUUAAUCCAAAAAAUGUCUCUGCCGAACAAGGUAGUUAUGCUUUGUCUAUUAUAUAAUAAUGCUUCGAAAAAUAAAUGUCCAGUAUGCCAAGGGCAGCACUUUCGUUGAAUUAAUUCUGAGUUAUAUAGUUAAACGAAUCGGAUUGAAGCAUAUUGUUUCUUACGUUUGUGUUUAUAUUAGAUUUUUGUAAGAUCUAUGUAAAUAUAUUAGUGCCAUUUUCCAUAUAGGUUCUAUUUUAGACUACACUUAAUUCGAAUUUACAUUGAAAGUUUAAUUAUUUAUCGAUAUCUUAACAGUGGGCAGAUAUGCAUGUCUAUGAGUUUGUACAUAGUAUUCAUUGAAUAGAAAAAUUAAUAGACACCAAGUUUGGUUUCAAUAUUUAUAGUGCAUGCUUCUCUAUAUAUGAUUAUAUUACUAAAUCCACACUAACAUCAGAGAAAAUUAAUACAUUCCACAUAAUUUUUGUGAAUGUAACAUGCCUGCUAAUUCACCACAAGAAAUCCGUCGGUCCAUGACGGUUCUCUCUCGACGGUCUCAAGAUCAUCACUGACGGUAUGAAUCUGAAAACUAGAGGUUGAGUAUUUUCUGACUCACCCAUAAUUUGUCCAGUAUAUCUUCACAAGGGAUAUGGUAUAUCGUGCCCAUGUUUGGCAAAUUAAAGACUCCUGUAUUCAAUGAGUGGGUUUCGUUUAUUGAUAUAGAUGCCCUGGCUUCAGUACUCCAACACUCACCAAUUUUGAAAUGCUCACCCUUCAGCUUCAUCAGUGAGGACCUCGUAACCGCGAUAGGAGCUGAAGAAAACUAUGAUCCAAGAGAACAGCCAUUUGCAUGCACACACCUUGUGGUAGUCAACAUUGAAUGUCAAUAGGUCGAUGAGAAGGUUUGCAAAAUUUUGAAGUUCUUCAGUACAUGUGGCAUACUUGCUGAGAACAUUAGCAUCAAGAAGACCAUAGGAUUGUGGUCAGAUUUUAAGCUAACUGUUCGUCACUUCAUGCUUCAUGUCUUGUGCAAUGCAAUUUCUGAGUUGUUUUCUUUCUGAAACAAAGAACUUCUAACUUGUACAUUCUCAGAUGUCAACAUCAACUAGGGUGUAUGACACACACCCUUUACCAAUCCAUACAUAUUGGACGUCCAUUAUCAUUUAAUAGAGAUGGAUUGCAACCUGAUGGAGUUCUUCUAGUUAAUCUGUAGUUGCUGGUGACACUAGAAGUCUACAACAGCUGGCGUAAAUUGUCAUUGACUCACGGUGCCUAUAAAGCUGUAGUCAUCCAAGCAAAACCAUCUAAUUGUUUUUUUCUCCUGUUUCUUUUAUUCGGAAUCUCCAAGUAUCGUGCUAUUUUUCUGUUGUAGUAAUUUGAACUUCAGACCCUAGUGAGAGAUUACUAAAAUAUAUCACUUCUCAUCAAUCCAGGAAGGAUAUAAUGGUCCUGCACUUCUUUCUAGAUAAUGGUGCCUCAUUAUUUUGCUCUUCUCAGCAGGGUUUGAUAGCCAUCCUAGCAUGUCCCCUACUGACUAAAGCCUGAAAGACACUUGAUGCUUGGCUAUUGACAUGCAAUCAGAUUUUUUGGCUUAUUCCGGGUUAUGAAGAAAUUUUUGUCAAGAUGCAUGUUAAAUACCAAUAUUUCAUAAUGAAUCAGAGAUGUUUAAAGGCUUCAAUUUAGGGAGGCUCCCGGAGCAGCUGCUUCCAUCUACUCCAGCGCCUGACUCACACCUUCAACCACUGAUGGCGACUAAGAUGUGUGCCUGGCCAUGGUGUUGUUUCUAUCUCUAAUAUUUAUCUCUGGAGUCGUGGCAUUUAUUUCUCUGCUUAGUUCGCAAACUUGCCUUCCUUAGUUUUUCGAUAAAACUUGGCAAAACUGUUUCCCCUUGCCAGACUAACUGCCAGGAUGCUUUUACCGGUCUGAACACUGCCAUGUUUCCUUCAAAAUCUAUGUUCUAAGAGAGCAUGAGUUCAAUGAUUUAUACUGCCACUUGAGGAGAUUAUCUAAAAAAUCUUUGACUUAGAUGAUAGAUGUGUCUAAAUUUGCAAUUUUCCUGCUUGCUCAAGUUGUAUCAAAAGACUACUUGCAUUUCUUUUAAGGUUAAAAAAUUCUUUACA